AUCUAAAGUGCCAGGUCCAAGGGGGUGGGCAGAAGGCAAGAACCAGAUCCAAGGUGAAGGUUGAGCUUAUUAAAAUUGCAUGGCCAAGGGACACUGGUGAGGAAAUGGCUGGCACCCUCCAGAUCAGCUGCCAGAAACCCCAACUCUGUCUUAUAACAACCUCAACUCCCACUCCAGGGAAACUGAGUGGCCAUCAGUAGGGGAUAGCCAAUGGGUGAAUGAAGAAUGCGGGAGAGGAGUAGCCAAGUGUCUCUUCUACACGUGGGAUCUUUCCUCCAUUCCCCUGACAGCCAUCCUGGUGGUGCAUGGAAAUGAAAUGCUAUCUCCAUGCUCACUAUUGAUCAAUGUGGUCAUUAUCGUCAGCCUCAUCAUUAAGUAUUUAUAAUAUACUGUGCACAAGGAUCUUGGGAGUUACAUGGAUUCCUAGGAGUUCUCUACCAAAAAGCACUGCUCCUUUCUGAAAAAUUGGCAGCACCUAGUUCAACUUCUUUGACUUCAUUGUGCAUCUGUGCCUAGCCCAUGAAAUAUUUCCCCAGGACAGAAUUUCCAAAUUGUCGACCCCAGGACCGUCAGCAUCAGAAUCACCUGAGUGGGCUUGCAAACGCCUCCCUCUCACCCCGUGCAACAAACCAAAUGCUUCCCUGUCAGUUCAAACCACUGAAUUAAAUUCAUAAGCAGACAGUCUAGGACUCUGUACUUUAACAAAUUCUAAAGAGUUUUGUCUGCUAGCUAAAGAUGGAAAGCUCCUGCCCUAGGGCAUAAGGUGUUUGUCUCCCUAGGAACACUGGUCCUGAAAUCUGUCUGGUGCAGAUGGCACCAAGGGGCACUACCUGCUUCCUUUCUACAGCCUGCUUCUUGCUUCUAUAUGGACCC